UAGCAUUAAUACAAAAGUUAUUUUUGGAACUUUAGCCCGUACGGAUGUUGACUAUCCGAGAAGCCGUUUAUUUAGGUCGGCUAGGGUCUUUCUAGGGGAAGAUACAUGCAUGUGAGGUCAAGCCAUGACAACCAAUAUGAAAGAGUUGACCGGUCACACUGAACUUAUGUACAGUCCAGUUGCUAGUACCCAGCACAUCCCAGAUUCGGCCUCGGGGGCUAAGUUGGCGAAUGAACGCAAAGCCCAGAUCGAGGUGAUCCCUUGUAAGGUCUGUGGUGACAAAUCGUCAGGAGUUCACUAUGGCGUAAUCACAUGUGAGGGUUGUAAGGGUUUUUUCCGACGAAGUCAGGCUGGUCCGGUGAACUACCAGUGCCCUCGGAAUAAAAACUGUGUUAUUGACCGAGUGAACAGGAACCGGUGUCAGUACUGCCGGCUACAGAAAUGUAUCGCCCUAGGGAUGUCGAGGGAUGCUGUCAAGUUUGGUCGGAUGUCAAAGAAGCAGAGGGAGAAAGUAGAAGAUGAGGCAAAUUUUGUAAAACAGAAUCGUAUAAAUGGAUACGGUCCAUCCUCCCCGACACCGCUUAUACCCUCGCCAAACAACAACAAUCAAUUUACGGGAUACACAGAUCCAAAUUUUAUGUAUACAAGUAACGGGUACACAUAUGCUCUCCCAUCACCAACGGAAACACCACACCCAGAGACCCCAGUGACCUCCGACCCACCAUCAUACACUGUAGCGACCACAUCUCCAACGACAACGCAAACUGCGCCCCAUCCGGUGACUCUAAUCAGGGCUAUUGAUCUCAUGGAUUCUGUUACAUUUGGUAAAGCCAUUAUAGAUGCACAUGUACGGACAUGCUUGUAUAGUAAAGAACAGAUUGAUCUGGUGAAAUCCAACCUCCCCACACUGGAACUACUAGAGGCCUUUAAGAUUAUGACACAUAAACAGUUGUGGGCGGAGGUGGCUGAGAAAAUCACGAUAGCUGUCCAACAAAUAAUUGAGUUUGCCAAGAUGGUGCCCGGGUUUAUGGACCUCUCCCAGGACGAUCAGAUCAUGUUAUUAAAAGCAGGGAGUUUUGAGCUGGCAUUAAUACGAUGUUGCAGAGUGUUUGACGUCGCCAGGAAUAGUGUUAUAUUUGGAAACACUCUCUUACCACUAGAGGCCUUUGAUGGUUUUAAUGAGGAGGAAACCCAUUUAAGAGACAAUAUAUUUGAGUUUGUGAGGUCGCUGAUGACGUUAAAUCUUACAGAGACAGAGUUAGCUCUGUUUAGUGCCGUCAUGCUGAUACGCCCAGAUCGGCCGGGACUUAAAGAAUUACCUGACAUUCAAAAACUUUAUGAAAAGGCGCUGGCUGCGCUUAAGAUGGAGAUAGGGAAGAGCCAUACCGAGGACGGAGAACUGCUGAACAAACUGAUGAUACACGCAUUCUCACUUCAAAAUCUAAGUGCCCAACAUAUUGUGCUAUUGAAUAAGUUCAAACAGUCUGCUCCGGAAGUGGAGUUUCCUGCCCUUCACAAGGAACUCUUCAGUGUUGAAGGGCUAGAUAAUUCCUGAAUUGUGCUUGUACGCCACCAUUUUGUUCUGUUUACAUACUGCAGGGAGAAUGUGAAAGAUUUUUUUGGCAUUGUUCGGAACUUACAGAAAGAGAGACAAUGUUUAGCAUUGCGGUUGAAGCUAUUUUUUUCAUUUGUUGUGAAAAAAAGAUUUUGAAAAACAACACGGAGGAUAAUAGUUGUUUGCUGAAAGAUUUUAAUUGUAUUUCAGCGGCCUGGUUCAUUUCAUGUACAAUUUCAUUGUGUUUAUUUGUUUAUGUACAGAUUUAUUUUAGAUGAAUUGUUUAGCCCUAUCCAUCCAUACACCUUAUCCCACACUUUGUUUUUAAGUAUAAAGUUUUGAUUUUAUCAUUUCAAUCCUGCAAUGAGAAAAAGUUUUGAUGUACUGGAUUCCAAAAAUAUCAUUGUUUUAUAUCGUGUACGAAUGCAAGACAGUGGUAAGCUCUAUCAGUAGAGGAUCUCAAUUCAUCUUUUUAUUUCAGACAUGUCUGCUGCCAGUCAGGGUCACCUUAGGUCACCUUAGGAAGGUUUUUAGCAACAAGACAAUGUGUCAAGUUUCAGUGUACAAGUUUAAAAAAACCUGAAAUUAGUGAUAUUUUCAAAAUAUUGAUUUUAUCAAAAUGAAUUUUAAAAAUUACAUUUGUGUACCAAAAGUGAAAUUCACAAUCAUAAUUAAAGGGAAAAAACGGGCAAAAGGGGCAAAAGUUGCAAGUUUGCUUGAAUAUAAAUAACUUGAAAAUUUAGUUCUCCGUUAAUGAUGCUGGCUACAACAGGGUUCAGUCUUAGGGUCUCUAUGUAGUGCAGUAGGGUUGAGGUUUUAAUACAAAUCAGAAUUUAUUGAAAAGCUGUAUGGAUGGUUAAGUGGUGAUGUAGGCAGAUCUUUCAGGCCCAUUUGUGCAGAGCUUUUGAGUUGUAAAUAUCAAUAGCAGUCAAUUGAAACUGAAAAACAGUAAAAUUGAUAUGCUUAUUGAUAAUUCAACAAUCCAACUUCUGUUUUAAGCUUUGUUUUUGUAACAAUGCAGAUAUACCUCUUCUAAAAGUAUUCUAUAGUUAUAAUGUAUUCAUAGUAUGGCAUCAUGACAGUAUGACGGUUUAGAAUUACAUUUGACGGGAUAAAUCUAGGUCAGUUUAUAGUUGUUUGUAGGCCCUUUCCUGUUUGGGAUAUAUCGCCCCUAUUCCCUAUUUUGUUCUUAGUCAGAUUCAAAACAACCCAUUCAGAAUGUCUGAUUUAACUCAUGUCAUGUCUUGAAACAAGUUAUUCGAAGAAAUCUGAAAUUUCAAUGGCAACAUUUUUUGAAAUUUGAAUUUAAAAAUAAAUUAUGAAUGUUACACCAUUUAGAUACAAAAGAUCAUUUGGAAAAAAAGUUAUUUUUUGAAGUAUUGAUCUCUACCUCUCCUGAAAUAAAACAGUGUUUGAAACCAUUCAAAAAAACUCUGCAAAAACAAUUUUUAAAAGAGUCCAUGGUUUUCAGUUUUGAAACUUGUCCGCUGUUUUACUGUUUAUCGUUGGAAACUUUUAAACAAUUUCUGAAAAUGAAAUCGUUUUUGAUUCAAAUGAAUCAAUUCCUCAUGUGGAUAGAACAGAUAUGGUUGGAAGCCUCAGUCAAUUGGAGUGUUUUUAUCACCUAUCAUUUGACAUUGAGCCAUGCUGUAGUGAUGUGUUAAUGUGUAAUGUACAAUAUUAAAAUUCUGGUGAUGAAUUUGAUGUCUGCAGGGAUUAAUUAACUUGUUUAGUCACAAUUUAUUUCUCCGUUUUUAACCGAGUUGGAAGUCAUGAUUACUGGGAACGAGACAAACUCGCUAAUGCUAGUAAUGCAUGUUAUUAGGCUUCAGGGGCAAACCUUUUUCGUUGUUUUCUUUUAACAAAAAGUGAUCUUGCAGUUUGAAAAUGUUUCUAUAUGAGCAUUUGUAUACAUUUGAUUUCGAUGUCCCUCUUUCAGAGCAUUUAACACAUUCACCCUUGAAGACACAUUUGAACUCUUCCAAUUUAAAGGUUUGAAUAGUUCAUUAUGAAAUUUCAGCAGUGAAUGAGUUAAAAUAAAUAAUCAAGGUAUGUUGAUAGCCUGUUUGAUAACUAAUGUAGCAAAAAGCAUUUUCAGAAAAUAUUUAGUUUUAAAAUAUUUUUUUUGUCGCCCUUUGACAUUUAACAAGAAUUAGCAAGUUAUUUCAACAUCAUUAUUAUUUUUCCGCAAAUAUAUUUUUUACGACAUACCCUUGAUUACUUUCAAAUCUUAUUUACAUAUUGAAAUCUGUUAGCCGUUUUACUGUUAAAUUUGACAUUAUUUUAAUACUAAUAUUUCAUAUUCUCAGUAAUAAUGAUAUUGACAGGAAAAGGAAGGUCCUCUUUCUCUGUGCAAAGUACAAAAUAUCUUAAUUUUAAUUUUCAGUUCUUAGGAUUUUUUAACAGUGUUAAUACUAACAGAAAGUAAAAAUAUCUUUAACCAUUUCACCACUAGACUAUAAUGGACCUAUCCAGAUCAAUGCAUGGUAGAGUUUAUCAAAGUUACAUAGGGGUGAAAGGAUUAAGAUUAUCAUAAGACUUCAUGCAGACAGGUUUUAGCAUUUAUAUUUUACCUUUUACUCAUUCACCCCUGAAAUUUCAUAAUGAACUAUUCCAAGCUUUGAAUGGGAAGAGUUCAAAUGUGUUUUCAGGGGUGAAGUAUAUAAGAAUAUAAAGAUAAUGUUGUAGCUACUUUUAUAAACGUACCCCAAUACUUACAGUAUUGUUAAAAGAAAACAAUGGAAGAUGUUUUUCUGUAGCCUCGUGUUGCACUACUGUUAUUGUUGUCCUUAGUUGUUACCUGUAUUAUACUUACUAGCAUGUACUGUCCGGGACAGGCUCCUCCACCAAUCAGCUUUUAACAGAUUUUUUAUUACAUAAUUAAACCUGUACUCACAGUUUAAGCCUCAUUGUGUACAGCAACAGCUGAAGUUACCAUUUUAAAUUAUGAAUUUUAAUAGAAAGUAUAUAUUGACCACACAAUUGAAUUCGAAGAACUCUUCAGGUUCAAAGAUUGGAAUAGAUCAUUAUGAAAUUUCAGGGGUGAAUGAAUUAUAAAUCGAGGCGAAUAAAUGCCGCUGUAAACAACUCUGAUGUUGAUGUAGACAUUUUACAUAAUUCUCAUUAUAAGAAAUCAAAGGUAAUUGAUUGCAUCAAUAACGAUAUUUAUCAAGAAAUAAUAUUUUCAUUGAGUUCUUUUUUACUUGUUCGACAGUAAUCAGAAUAUGAAAUGCAGUUGCCAAAUAGAUUUCUUUUAAGAAUUAAUUCUGUCCUUUCGUCUAUGUUAGUUGGGGAUUUAUCUGAUGGUAUAGAUUUGUUUAUCAAAGAAAAAUGUGUUUCCUAUUGCCCAUGUUAAGUAUGAGAAGGGUGUUUUUUUGGGUUUUUUUUUUCCCAAAUAUUUCCUCUAUUAAUUAGCUGUACAUGGUGAAGUUUAAGUGAUGAAAACCAAUUUGAUUAUUGUUUAGUACUUCAAAAAGCUGAUUCAUGGAAGAUCCCGGACAGAUGCCAUUUUGCCUUUAGUGAAAUGAACGGGCAGUCUUAAUAAUAUAGUAAUUUUGUAAAUAGUGACCUAGUUAUAUAUACUGUAUGUAUUUGUAGGCUAACACAGAUUACAUACGUCACACCUAUAUCUGUUGUGUAUAUACUAUAUAUAUAUAUAUAUAUAAGUGAGGAAGUCGCACAAGAUUUUAACUGUAUACUGAUAUAAAGACUAUAGUAGACGAAAUCAAUUCUUUGUUGAUUCGUAUAUAUAAUCUAUAUAUAUUAAUAUUUUAAUUGUUAACGAAAUGUUCACAUAAUCUGAAACAGAAGUAUUGUUGAUGUAUUGGAAAAUACUUUUACCGACAUUUUUUGAAAUCAAGAUAAAUGAAAGUUUUGACAUAAUUACUGAUAUUUUGUGUUAUUUUCUCCCCAAAUCUUUUAUUUGAGAAAUAUAUUUGAUGACUUUCCACUCUUUCCUGAUAAACAUUUUGUCGACUGUCAAAUCAUAAUGUGUUUUUCUAAUAAUAAACAAGUCCGGUGAAAUAUUUGACCUAUUAAUGAAGGAGCGAGUUUUUAACAUCAGCUUAACAGUUUUCAAUUUUCAAUAAUUAAUUUCUUGAACAGUACAAUUGAAACAUAAAACAAUUUACAACACUACUUGAAUUUUAAGGGUAUUCUGUACAGCAUGAAUUUCAUUUUAACAGAAGCUGAAUUUAAUGAAGUGCUUAAUUUGAAAAUUACUUGAAAAUUUCAGAAAAGAUACCUUUUCAAAAUUGUCUUGCUGCAUCUCCUGUGAAACUCCACUGUGCUACCUGUUGAUGAGAUGGUCGGGGGAUUUUUUUUAUAACAUGGUAGGAAGCUGGCCUCACAAACAUUUUUUGGUUACUUUUGAAGGUUUUAAGAUCUGUUUUUAGUUUCAUUUUUAUGAUAACUUGUCCAUGCAUGCCAUUUUUGUUCCAACAAUCAAAUUUUCAAUGUUGUGGAAGUUAGUUAUUUGCGACCUGCAUAUAGAUUUAUAGUUUGAGUAGAAAGUUCAUUCUGUCCUAUAUCAAUGCUAGGCAGGGUUAGAAACCUCGGGAGACAAGGUCAGAGUUGCCUUAGUAAUCCUGUCUAACUAACACAGGUACCUUUCUCACGAUAACUUCACUACAACUACAAACUUUAUAUUGAUGGACAGGAAGUGUAAACAGUUUUGAGAUCACUUGGGUGGGUUUUCAUCGUAUUUGGAGAAAAAUAUUUGCGUUAAUUCGACUUGACAAUCAACUUCAUUUGAACCGCAAAUUCAGCACGGCGAAGGUAUAUGUUACAACAUUAUGAUGUAACAGUACAAAUGUGUGUGCGACACUGGAUCUGAUCAUAACAUUACAGAAAUAGUUUAAAACAAUCUUAGUGCUAUUAUACUGCUGUACAGAUUUUUUCUUUUAUUUGAACAAUAUAUGUGAAUAGUUUCAGUGAAAAUAGUUUGUUUAAAGUCUUAAGUAGGGUAUCAGACUGUUUUGAGAGAGAAAAUGGUUUCCUAAUUGUGUAUAUACAGACCAUUGAUUAGGGUGUAAGCUAUUUUAACCUUUUCACCACUGUAGACCGUAAUGGAUUCAUCCAGAUCAAUGCAUUGUAGAGUCUACUAAAGUUGCAUAGGGGUGAGAGGGUUAAAUAGCUGGAUGUGGUGAAUAUAUUUACACGUGAACAGUAGUGACGGAAUUUAGCAAAAAUCAAAUAUUAUCAUGAAGAAAGAAUUAUUUCUUAUCUAUCUAGUCGUAGGUUAUUAACCCUAACACCCCUAUGUAACUUAAGUAGAUUCUACCAUGCGUUGAUCUUGAUGAGUCCAUUAUGGUCUACAGUGGUGAAAGGGUUAAUAUGUAAAUCCAGAGAACAAUUACAAUUAUAAUGAGUAGAAAUUGAAACACAAUAAGAUAAGACUUGACGAGCUGAUCAGUGAGAUUCUGUGGAAGGAUAUAAGGAACUGUAAACACCAGAAGGGAGACACAUGACGAACCGACCAAUCAGGGCUCUAGUAGAGGAACAGAUAUGGUUUAGGUCAAAGUUUACAGGGCUUCGUUGAUGUCACUUGGUACUUGUUAUCAACAGAGAUUUUAUAGACUGAUUCAUAAAGCAGAAGUGUUCAGCCUUCAUUUUAAUAUGAUUUUGUUAUGUUUUCAGAUUUAUUGAUAUUGAAAUAAUUUGUUUCUAAGUGAAAGUAGAAUGACUUGAACCAAAGUUUGGAAUUAUAAGGGUAAUUUUUAAUCAAAAUUCUUUAUUGGAAAUUGAUUAAACCAUUAAAUUCAGUUGAAAAGAAAUACAACUUUAUAGGAAAUUAAUACAGAAUACUUAUAUAGCUGGCAAUUAAUUCAUAUGAAAUGUUUUGAUCCUAAACAAUAACAUAGUAUGCUUGGUGUCAUAAAUUGGUUUUGUUCUGGAGUUAUCUCCCUCUACCUGAAUGGUAUCGGAGCCCCAUUCCAGUGAACGUUUUAAAUUUGUAAUCAAAUGGACUAGUCUAAAUUGAUCAUUCAUUAAGAACAUUUUUGUUGUGUGGAACUCUCCUAGAAUGGAGAUAUUUUUCUUGGUAAGGUAGCUUACAUCCUUAAUAGGCUACUUGCUGUUAAUAGACUUGUUUCACAAUAAGGUAGCAUAUAUCAAGAAGGAAAAUAAGUAGGACUGACUGCACUGUACAACAUAACCAGGAUUAUUUGUUUUUACAACAAAUUUUAUCUUGUAGUACUGCUUAAAGUUGUUCAUCCUGUGUGUAAAAAUGACAAAUAUCCAGUAUCUCAAUUGCCAUAUAUUAUAUAUAUAUACAUAAAGAUUGUUUUAUAUGAGUAGGCCUUGUUGUUAAUAGCUUACCUACGUGAUUUAUGUUGCUUUGUACACAUGUAUAUAGUUCAUUGCUACAAUGACAUUAGAUGUUACUACCACUAAGUCAGCUUGUCCUGUUAUAGUUAAAAUACCGCAGUCAGUUUUUAACGUCACACUAAAAUAUAGGGCAGUUUGAUACUUUCAAUUGUCAUUGUUUUGUGAUAUAAAGGUACUUUGUAUUCAAAUUGUCUAGAAUCUGAUGGCAAUUGUCCUAAAUUUUAAGGCAGUUUUUUGUGACCUUGUAAUAUACAGGUUUAGUUUUAAGGCAGUAUGUAUGACCAAGUAAUUAACGGGUUUUAAAGAAUUCAACUCGGAAAUCAGAUGAUUUUUUGGGUAAUCAUUUCAAAAGUAUGUUUACAGUAAGUUACUGUUUCAACAGGUCCUAUUCCUAAUAUGGGCAAUCAACUCUAGAGACUAUGAGGGGAAGCUGACUGGUUGGCAGUUACUGUUAUAUGACAAACAUGUACAGUACCAUUUCGUACCAAAGAUGAUAUAUAUAUAUAUGUAUAUAUAGAUGAUGUACAGAAAUUUACUGAUGUUAAAAAGGUGGAAGAAAGUUUUUUCUGAUUUCCUUUUUUAGGGAAAAAUAACUUUUAUGUUGAUUGUCAAAUUAUCAUAUUAGAAAAAAAAGUAUUAAUAAUAUUAAGUUUUCAUAUUGGGAGUUUUUGUAGGUGAUAAAAAAACUCUGAUAAUAAAAGAUUAAAGUCCUGUAUAGUUCUGAUUUACUCAACCUUUAUUUUGAUAGAGGUGGAUUUUGUGUCAUGGUCUAAUUUAGUCCUUUACCCCUGAAGACACAUUUGUACUCUUCCAAUUCAAAGGUUGGAAUAGCUCAUGAAAUUUCAGGGGUGAAUGAGUUAAAUGUAAUCGCUUAAGUGAUUACUGUUGUUACUAACUCUGUGUCUGGGCAUUAGACUCUCUAAUGGUGGAGUGUAUAGUCUCUUUACAUCAACAUUUCUGGUAAUGAUAACUUUGUGGUCCUGUUGGAGCAAGGCCCUCGCUGGGCACUGAGGCCUGUGGUCAUUUUGUGGUCCUGUUGAGGUGAGGCUAUGGGUACUGAGGCCUGUGCUCAUUUUGUGGUCCUGUUGAGGUGAGGAUAUGGGUACUGAGGCCUGUGCUCAUUUUGUGGUCCUGUUGAGGUGAGGCUAUGGGUACUGAGGCCUGUGCUCACUUUGUGGUCCUGUUGAGGUGAGGCUAUGGGUACUGAGGCCUGUGCUCAUUUUGUUGUCCAGUUGGGGCGAGUAGCUCUAUGGGUACUGAGGCCUGUGGUCAUUUUGUUGUCCAGCUGGGGUGAGUACCUCUAUGGGUACUGAGGCCUGUGUUCAUUUUGUUGUCCAGUUGGGGCGAGUAGCUCUAUGGGUACUGAGGCCUGUGGUCAUUUUGUUGUCCUGCUGGGGCGAGGCCCUCUAUGGGUACUGAGGACUGUGGUCAUUUUGUUGUCCAGUUGGGGUACUGGAGGUCUAUGGUAUACAGGACUUAUAUCUUACCAGCAAUUAAUUCAGUAAUAAUUUGUUAAUGUGUUAUUUUGUCAUUUUGCAUGAAGUACAUUCUGUUGUUAUCAUUUAAAAUGAAUCAUUUUUAAUUUGUGUCACAUGCUGUAGUUAAUUAUUCUCUUAUAUCUGUCGCAUUUAAUAUCUCUUACUUUUCAUGUUCGCUCAUAAACUACUGUUAACCGGAUAUAAAAAUAUGUAUAUUCCAUUGAUAUUUCCUUACCUUCCUAAUACAGUUCAGAAGAUGUUGAGAGCUGGUUGUCACUACCUUGUAUAAGGGGAAGAACAGAGCAAAUUGUUGCCUAGUUUAACUUGUCCUUUCACCAUGGUUACAAUUUACCUCCAUAUGGGGGUAUAAGACCUCAUAAAACAGCUUUUGACCCUAAAAAUGUUAGAGAAUUGUCAUAUAAAGGGGUCAGAAUUUGUGAUUUAUGCCUGAUUUUACCCCCAACUUUUAUGUCUUGUAAAAACACUGUUCAUCCUCUGUAAAGAGGAAAAAUCAUGAGAGUUUACUCCAGUACACAGCCUAAAAUGCAUGGUAUUUCUAGUAUGAAGGUGAAAUUAAGACCGGGUGAUUAACUCAUUCACCCCUGAAGACACAUUUGAAAUCUUUUGAGUUCAAUAGUUGGAAUGGUUCAUUAUGAAAUUCAGGGGUGAAUGAAUUGAGGAUGAAUAUUUGAAUUUGACAUGAUUGACGGCUAGUUAUCUGCGUGGCAUUAUGAUCAAGUCACCUGACCGGUCAGUCUGGUUAAACGCAGUGGUCACUUCCUCUGUUAUCUCAAGUCUCACUAAACUUCAGACUCCAUGUUCCUCAAAAUAGUUUCACACAAUGUCAGUAACAAACUGAAGUUUUUCAUCUAUCAUAUUAAUAGUGUAUCUUCACUUCUUAUAGAAAACAACUAUAUUUGUAUAUUUUGAUUUGGUCUCUUAAAAUAGAGAUUUAAAUCUUCAUUUCUAACAGAACAAUUCCUUAAAAUUUACUUUUAGCAACCACACAAUUUAAAAUGGGUUUUAAAUUACGGAGAUGCACAGUUCGUGUUCAACUAUCGGUUCUUAAUGCAGUACCCGCAACUAAAAAUAUUCUCAAAAAGCCUUCAAUUUUAGUUAUCUCGGUCUAAACUUCAUGAGCAUUGAACAUUCAUUUAGUUUUUUUCCUAACUAGAGUGCAGUAUUAAGUUGAGGACAAUAGCUUGUUUAGAGAGAGGAAAACUUAGUAGGAGUGUGUUUGAAAAAGAGGAGAUCGCUUUCUUAACAAGAUUAACCAAUACUGAUAAAAUUUAAGUAAUCAUACUAAUUCGGAAGCAGAUGAUAAAAUGUUGAGAUAUACUUGUAGAAAUGUGUCCUAUAUCCACAUACUUUUUCACCACAGACAGAUGUUUUUCUCAUGGCUAGGAAAGUAAUGGGUUGGAAUGAAGCACAAACAAUGUGAUGUCUACCUCAUGUUUCCCUGUACCUUUGUAUACGGUUGAAUAAGCAAUACUAUAGUACAGUAUCACCACACUAUUGAUAUGUCCAAAAUUGCACUUUUGUGAAUAAAAAUAACGGUUGUCUGCCUUGGGUGAGAGAGUGGAGAUGGUUAUCUCCCUUUGGGAGAGUGCAGCAUUAUGAUUACCAUGGUAACCAGGAUCUGGACCAUCACAUCUCUUGAUUGUUUUGUCUCCUGUAACGUUGACAUUUGUUUAAUUAACAAUGCAUGUAUGAUUUGUAAUGAUUUGUUGAAAACUUAAGGGAUAAAAUGUUGUACGGUGAAAGAUUUGAAAUAAUCAAACCUCUUGGCCACAAAGGCUUGUCGAAACAAGACCAUUGGUCAGUCAUUAAUGACGGGGUAAUAAUGAAAUGUUAACAAAUUAUUUUAAAAAAGAAUUAACAUAAAAAAAUGAUUUUUUUCCUAUGGAUAUUUUAUGUAAUAGUCGUUUUCCUAAUUUGACAAUACUUGUAGGUCUUCGUUUUAUCAUUUUGAUUUUAACAGUUAAUUUUGUACAUCAUUGUUUCAUUUGAUCCUCUGACCCCUGUAAAGCGUAGUGUACCUGUCUAGUUCAGGGUAUCAAGGACAGCUCAUUAUGUGAUAUUAGGGGGACUUAUUUUACUAUUUUUAAGCCGGUACUAUAUUUGGUAACUACCUUUGUACACAGAAUAUGUGUUGAUACAUUGUAUAUUAUUGUAAUGAUCUGUAAGGAAUUAUGUCAAUCAGUACCUGAUAAAGAGGGAUUCAUGUUUAAUGUAAGGGGAAUAACUCUUCAUAUUAAAUACAUUGACUCUUGUUACUAAUACGGAAUACAUGGGGGGAAAUAUCCAUCAAAAACUUAAUUGAGCGUAAGAGGCAAUCCUAUUGAGAGAAAAAAAUCUGAGUAGUUACUUGAUGUUUAAGUAACAGUUAAAAAAAAAGUCAGUAAUCGCCUUUCCCAAGGGAGGUAAUUCUUGUACGACCCAUGGAGUCCCUUGUACAGUUUGUCAUUAGUUAACUUGCCCCGGUUCGAUGGAGCUGUUGGGCGAAUGAAGGUUGUUAUGGUGAUUUGAGACGGAACUGUAAAGUGAUUUUUGUCAGUGCAGUGUUACACCUGGUCAACACUUUGUAAAGGUGUACAAGGCACACAUUAUCAAAUACACUAUUUUUAUAUACACAA
rnacentral:misc_RNA from 1 species